UCCAGAAUCCAAUCUUAUUCUAACUCUUAUAAACAUUAAUCCAAAAGGUACAUGACAGUGGAAAAAAGGCCAAGAAAAACAAGUAGUAGUCCAACAUAACAGCAACAGGUUGCUAUUACAGCUCCUAACCUGCAGCAAGACCAAACGCCAGCAAAUCCUAAAACCACUACCUGAGCAAUUCAGUUGGAUCAUCUUUUGAAAUGUAAUCUGACAGAUCCUGUAAAUCCAUCCUCUGACAGCACCCCCAACCAACAACCUGUACACAGAUUUCAUUAGGCUCUAUUAAAACAAAACUCGGUCUUGUGAAGCAGGGACACCUGAACCUGCAAAACUCAUUAAAAAUGUAAGCUCUCAACUGAUUCUGGUUGAUUUUUUGUAAAAUAAUAUAAUCAAAGCUGGAAAAAGAGAGUUCACCAAAAAACACAUCCAAUACAGAAUGGAAAAUUGAUUGGUUACUAGCCUGAAUGUGUGGUGAUCACAGAAUCCCAGUGUAAUGCUCACACAUGUUAAAAACAAGCACACAAUGAGAAAACAAAAGAAUUUCAAACAUCCAUGCAAUCAACAGUAACAAUUCAAAUUAGCCACAUUUUCAUUCUUGGAGAACAUAGUUCCGGCUAACACUAGUACGGUAGUAUAGUUACAAAAAAAGCUUCAAUCAAUCACCAAACAUUUAAACAGCUAGUAAAACUGAAAGCAUUUGCCCGAAUCAGAACACUUGAUCUUGAAAAGAUUUUAGUUUCAAAUGACAACUGUUAUAGUCCAUUAUGGAUUGUUAGUUUGUUAUAGUCACUGACACAAGUUAAUAAAAAACUUGGCCAAGAAAAUUCAAGGGGUGCCAUCAUGCAUUCAAGCACACAAUCAAGCAAAAUAUGAAUGCAGAUAACAGAUGCAAAAGACAUUUCACAUUCCAUAUGACAGAACUGUGAA
rnacentral:misc_RNA from 1 species